rnacentral:rRNA from 1 species
CCGUGCCUGGUAGCGGGGGAUAACUAUUGGAAACGAUAGCUAAUACCGCAUGAAAUUGCUUAUCGCAUGAUAAUUAAUUGAAAGAUGCAAUUGCAUCACUACCAGAUGGACCUGCGUUGUAUUAGCUAGUUGGUGAGGUAACGGCUCACCAAGGCGACGAUACAUAGCCGACCUGAGAGGGUGAUCGGCCACACUGGGACUGAGACACGGCCCAG